rnacentral:lncRNA from 10 species
CAAAUGUGUGUGCAGAGUUUCUACACCAGUUCUCCAACUCUCUGGAUACCAACCGCGUAUCCCACAAUUCCAUUCUGACACUACCUAGAGUUAGCACAGAACCCACAGGUUAGGGGCUCAGUCCCACAAGACCACCCUCACUUCAGAUGCCAGUUGCAAGUCCUAGGUUGUCACCUGUAUUUUGACCAACCAGUUAGAAAUCGGGGUUUCCC